CUGAUGCGUUGUUGGGUAGGGGAGCGUUCUGUAAGCCUGCGAAGGUGUGCUGUGAGGCAUGCUGGAGGUAUCAGAAGUGCGAAUGCUGACAUAAGUAACGAUAAAGCGGGUGAAAAGCCCGCUCGCCGGAAGACCAAGGGUUCCUGUCCAACGUUAAUCGGGGCAGGGUGAGUCGACCCCUAAGGCGAGGCCGAAAGGCGUAGUCGAUGGGAAACAGGUUAAUAUUCCUGUACUUGGUGUUACUGCGAAGGGGGGACGGAGAAGGCUAUGUUGGCCGGGCGACGGUUGUCCCGGUUUAAGCGUGUAGGCUGGUUUUCCAGGCAAAUCCGGAAAAUCAAGGCUGAGGCGUGAUGACGAGGCACUACGGUGCUGAAGCAACAAAUGCCCUGCUUCCAGGAAAAGCCUCUAAGCAUCAGGUAACAUCAAAUCGUACCCCAAACCGACACAGGUGGUCAGGUAGAGAAUACCAAGGCGCUUGAGAGAACUCGGGUGAAGGAACUAGGCAAAAUGGUGCCGUAACUUCGGGAGAAGGCACGCUGAUAUGUAGGUGAAGCGACUUGCUCGUGGAGCUGAAAUCAGUCGAAGAUACCAGCUGGCUGCAACUGUUUAUUAAAAACACAGCACUGUGCAAACACGAAAGUGGACGUAUACGGUGUGACGCCUGCCCGGUGCCGGAAGGUUAAUUGAUGGGGU
rnacentral:rRNA from 1 species